AGUGCACUGGCCACUGUUUGUGUUAAAACCGCUUCUUGGAACUGAAGAUGCCGCCUGGAACCACACCUGGAACGUUUGGAAACUUGGAUUUGCCUGAGGGUAGUGACAGCCGAAAUCCCAGCUUCGCUAAGACAGCUCUUUCCUCAAUAUCCCCAGACCUCACGAUCACAGCAUGCAUGCCCAGCCUUAGAAGCUUGAAGUCUACACAGCUGUAGAAUAUUUAGCUCUGUGUGUCAGACGACAUCCACAGGCUGAUACUCUAAUCCCAAGUGAAGCUUCUCGUUGAUUUAAGAAGCUUCUGUUGGACUAUUUUCUGGACAUAGAAGAAAAGACAGAAAGUGGGUAGCUUUUUCUUUCAAGAGUUGAAAGCAGCACUCGUUUGAGGUUUUAAGAAGAUUUGGAGAAUGAGGAUUGAUCUGCUAACAUCAGAGAAGAAAUCUGGUGGCAAAUAUCAAAACCUCGCAGAAUAUUUUACCACUCAGAGAUAUUAGAAGUGAUUCACCCCCUGUGGAAACGGAACUACCUUUGGAGUGAAAACCAGCAACUGUUCAAGUACUACAGGCACAGUACUUGAUAAUUUAGCAUUGGACAUCUCAGUGUCGCGUGGAAAUCACAGAGGAGUAAGGGCCUGCCUUCGAAGAAGUAAAGCAACAUGGGAAAAAGUGGAUGGGCCAGACAUUGUGCUAAUCAGAUAGAUGUCGUUUUGGGUGGGUAGGUGCAAUUCAGAGGAGGUCCUCUUCAAGGAACAUGUGUAUAUGGAUGGCAGGAGCUGGCUGACAGUUAGACACCUGUAUGUCUAACAGAAGAUUAAAAUGGUUCUAAAUGCCCUUUUAGCCCCCUUUCUUUCUCCCUAUAUUACUAUAGAAGUGCACAUUCAGUGUGAGAGGUGGUCCAUGCCUAGAGAAACAGAACCAAAAACUUUCAGGAAAACAAAAUUAACUUUG